UCAGUAGUGUAAAUGUAGAAUUCAUUUCUUCCUCGAGUAUCAAUUAUGCACUACAACCAGAAUGCAUUAGUGUAGUUGAUGAUAUGGCUGCAGCUGCUGCUGCUGCAACACUCUCGCUCUCUCUGGUUAGAUCCCAACAGAAUCAUUAUGACAAAACAACACUAUCUUUGUUUACUCUUUCACCUUUCAUAAUUCCCACCAAACACUCUCUUUUCUCCCUCAAAAAACCCCACCAUUACCCCUUCAGAGAUUUUCACUCUUCCUCUUCUUCAUCUUCUUCCAACCACACCACCUCUUCAUUUCUCCAUGAUUCUUUUCGAACCGGAAGGUUUUUGACCAAUGAAGAGAUUGAGAAGCUCAAGAACCUCGAAAAUUUUGUACAUUUUCAAGAAUUGAAAUCUGGGUUUUUGUGGGUUCGUGUGAUGAGACCUGAAGACAUGGAUUCUACUGUGGGUUUGUUAGCUCAAUCGUUCGCUGAGUCAAUGCUGCUACGUUCGGGGUAUGAGAAAUUGUUAAGCUUCUUAGUGAAGCAGUAUUUAGUUGAGAGAAGAGGUGUGAUGCCUCAUGCUGUUACACUUAUUGGGUUUUAUAGAGGAAAGGAAGAGGAGGAGCCUUGUAAAGAAGUAGACUUGGUGGGCACUGUGGAGGUUUGUUUUGAUAGCCGGGGUGCAAAUGCUUCACCUCCCACGCCUACUCCUCCCCGAAACUCGCCUUAUAUUUGUAACAUGACUGUUAAAAUGCCACUGCGAAGGAAGGGUAUUGGUUGGCAUCUUCUGAAGGCAAGUGAAGAACUAAUAUCUCAGAUGAGUUCCUCAAAAGAUGUGUAUCUGCACUGCAGAAUGAUUGAUGCUGCCCCAUUUAACAUGUAUAGGAAAGCAGGGUAUAACAUCAUUAAAACAGAUAGUAUCUUAAUAUUGUUGAUGCUGCAGAGACGCAAGCACUUGAUGUGCAAGAAGCUUACAGUUUUUGAAAGCCCCUCAAAAUCAGAUAUGUCAGCCUCUGAUGAGGAAUUUUGUUCAUAAAUGAAUUUUUGGAAGUUACAGCAUAAUUCUCUAGGUAUAUGCAGUUUCUGUCAUAUGAUUCUCUUCACUAGUAAAACUCAUAUUCUGCUGCGGGUGUUCUAGUUCUUGCUUUUUCACAGAUACCAGACAGAGGCAGAUGUGCUUGUAAAUCACUUUUGUACAUUGUCCAAAUUGUUUGGACUUUUCCAGUCCUGGACAUAGUCCAGCCAGGUUGUGAGUUGUGAUCUUCAAACGGAUUGGUUUCUGUAUGAAGGAGUCAGUCAGAUUUUCAACUAGCCUUGUCUGUUUGUGUCAUGUCUAUGGUAGAAACCUGUUUUGCUACAGGUUUCCUUUUUGCAUGUACUCAUACACCAGAAAGCGGUGUUUUCCAUCGGCACAGUAGCCUAUCAGGGAAACCAGAUUUGGAUGGUCAAGUCUGCUUAAGAUAUCAACUUCAACCCGGAACUCGAGUUCUCCUUCAGCUACUUUAAAUGGCGGCAACUCCAUUUUCUUUAUUGCAACAACCUUCAGAUUUCAAAAGAGAAACAAAUUUAUGGGUCAACUACUCAUCGCAUGCUACUCACUUAAUAAUAUCAUCAUUUAAUAAAUCUAAUUGCUUGGUUUUCUCAGGAAUUUUCAAGUCUAACCUCAAGCAAUCAUGGUCUUACAUUACAGUCUACUUGGAUAACAACGUUUACCUCACCCGACCGCAAAGUGCCCCUGUAAACUCGGCCGAAUCCUCCUUUACCCAGAAAAUUUUCAUCACUGAAAGAGCACGUUGCCUCUUCCAUUUCCCUGAGAGUAAAAACUGAUGAUCCAUGGCGUCUUUUCGGAGGUUGGGGUGCUGUAUUUUCGAGCUGCCAAUACUCUGCUGGUCUGUAAAUCCCUGGAAGGUAUAUAGGUAGAUGUUCAAACAAUGAAAAGAUUCCUCCGAAAAAGGUCUACAAAACAUGGCUUAAUUGAAUAAACCAGGAGAAGCGACGAAGAAAAACUUACAAGGGUCGGUGUGAUCUUGGGACUUGCUUCUUCUGCGCUUGUUCCAUGCCGAGACCAAUCCGAAUGGCAUGAUUGCUAUUUCUGAAUGGAUUUACUUGUCUAUUGAACGAUUUCAGUGAACGGACAAUUGGAUGGAGAAGUUCCGUAAAUGUCACUGGGCUUCGGAGUCUUAGCAAAGAUUGAAUUUGAAAAUCUACUUUAGCGUUAGUGUUGUAUUGAGUACAAAACUCGCACACAAAGAUAAGUUACAGAAAGGAUUAUAGUAUGAGAAAGCUCUGAAGGAUACAGUGCGUACAGAGGAAGAGUCAGGGUAGAAAUACUCAACCAGAUUAUCUAACAACCAUAAUUUACAGAGAAAUGUACUUAAAGUAAAAGAAAAAGCAAAUAAAGGUAGAGUUGUCAAUGCUUGCUUACCUUUCAA